CCAGAGUGGACUUACCGCUGGUGUACCAGUUGUCUUGCCAAAGGCAUCGCUGGGUAGCUAUGUAGGGAAGGGAUAAGCGCUGAAAGCAUCUAAGUGCGAAGCCCACCUCAAGAUGAGAUUUCCCAUGAUUUUAUAUCAGUAAGAGCCCUGAGAGAUGAUCAGGUAGAUAGGUUAGGAGUGUAAUUGUGGUGACACAUUUAGCGGACUAAUACUAAUAGCUCGAGGACUUAUCCAAAA
rnacentral:rRNA from 1 species